UGAGCGAGCGAGUUGAUGAGAUUGGCAGCGUCCGGGUCGGUCCGGAGCACCGCGUCCGACGAAAGCAGCCCCCUGUUGGCCUCGAGGUUCCUGUAGUAAGCGUUGUCGAAGCUAAACUCCGAGUUCCUGUCUAGCGCCACCGUCGGGCUCGGGUUUGCUCCCUGCGGGCAAAUACGCCGGAGCUCCUCGCGGUACGUAGCGUCCAGGCUUGGGUCGGGACGUCCGGUGUUGUUAAAGUUGUAGACACGAGUCUCGACGAAUCUACACUUCGCGCGACCAAUGGUGUGUCCGCCUGUUAUUGCAAUGUUAGUGGGUGGAGAGUUCUAGCUUCAAGAGAAGCUUCUUACCGGAGAGCAGCACGAGGUCAUGAACUGACAAGCCUUUGCCCCUGAAGAUGUCUCUCAGCCGACUGAACGAGGAAGCGGGACCCGGUAAGCUGUUGGCUUCUGUUCUGCUAGAGAUUCGUCCGUCAAGGCGACCCGUAGGCACAGUGUAGAACAUCCCUCCAAACUACAUAAAUUUGCCGGCAAAGUCAAAGAGAAAUCAACAAAAGCCGACUUGUGCUUACGUAGGUUGUCGCGUCCCUGGCAGCAAACGCAAGCACAUCCGCACAGCUCACAACUCCCGGGCACACAGCCUCCAGGCGAGUUUUUGCGGCCUCGAUAAUCUCGAAACCACGAGCAGAGUUGUUGUUCCCGAGCGCGAACAUCUCCACAUCUCUGCCAGCAGUAGGAGUGGAUUCCAAAAGUAUCGAUCCAUCGCACCCCUGGACAAAUGAGUCACAUUCGUCACAACUCACAUACAUAAAGCUGCUAAGACGAUGAACUUACCUGGACAAAGCAGUCAUGGAAGAACAAGCGGAUAAUCCCGGCUGGUGCUGUUGGAUCCCGGUCAGCUGCACUCUUGACAGUGGCCGCGACUAUCUGUUCAGCGCUCGGACAAGAUCGAGCAUAGCUGUGAAGAGAAUCGGGAGCAGACGCAGAAAAAACUGCUGCUACGAGGAGUCCAAGGCAGAGAAGUUGCAUUGAAGCCAUAGAGCUAAUGCAAAGCCAAGCUUCUGCAGAUAUGUAUACAUAUACACAUAUGCCACACAGGCACACGCAGGCGCCCACCCGAGACUCCAGGGGCCGCUCAAGGAAGUCUGGUUGCUCUGCGUGGUCGUGAAGACACAUACACUAUCGGCUGCCAGCUGUGGACCGAAUAGAAAAUACAGCGUCCUUUGGUACAUGAACUUGUCAGACGAGCUUGGCUUUUGCGUUGCUUUCUCGAUUGACGAAUAUUAGUGUGUCUAAUGACCUGUCCUUACUCUCAGCUGGGCCAAUGGAAAGCUUUUUAGACCAGCUAUCUCUCUACAAUAAAGGGGCCCAGUUGGAGGUGUAUACAUACUUUGUUCGCGUGCAUGUCCACGUCAAAGUGCAACGGGGACAGGGGUGGUGGUGUGGACAUGGGAAUUUCGGCGUUACCUUGUUGUCUUUGCUCGCCCACUUAUCCAUCGCUCCAAGUUCCGUGUCGAGACCUUGUUGUUGGCUUGAAUGAACGUACGAUACGCUUUAGCGUAUCGUGUGGGCCGCAUUCUUGCUCUUGUAGCCGCAGUCGAGAACUGCGAGGCGUCAUCUUGUUGACGGCUUGUACGGUCAUCCUUUUGCCUUCGUCAACUUCGUUCCCCCAUGAAUCUCUGUCCCCCGGGGAGGGCGGCUGGUGCGAGCCCCACCAGCAGGAUCGCGAUCAUCCCAAACGCCACGCAUCCACACAAUUUAAUCAAUAAUGUCGUUGGGUGAAGGGCCACACCUGCUUCAACCCUGGCGGCAGCGGCGACCUGGUGGCGGUCGAGGUGAGGUGGCCAUUGGUCAUGUCCUUGAACGUUGCGGACUGGCAGUUUGGGAGAACUUACAGCGGUGGCCAGACCACGCUCUAGAGAGUGAUUUUUGAAGAGGAUCGAACCCCGAUUCUAUCCGUAUGAAAUAUUUUCACAGUUUACAAUUGUUCCAAAGUGAACCAGUGACACAUUGAUUUAUUUUUCCAUCGCUCUUCCAAUUGGCCAAGACAAACCGUCCACCCUUGUUGAUUGAUAUCCUAGAAGGACGCAACGUCGCCCACUUCGGUGGUGAUCCUGGAGUUCACGGCCGAGCACUUCUUCCUUAUCUCCCCGUUGGCUCUCGUCUUCCACUCGAUGUUUCCCAUGUUGAUCAUCGACUGCGCGAACAUGGAGAGGAACGUUGGCGGGUUCUGAGCGAGCGAGUUGAUGAGAUUGGCAGCGUCCGGGUCGGUCCGGAGCACCGCGUCCGACGAAAGCAGCCCCCUGUUGGCCUCGAGGUUCCUGUAGUAAGCGUUGUCGAAGCUAAACUCCGAGUUCCUGUCCAGCGCCACCGUCGGGCCCGGGUUUGCUCCCUGCGGGCAA
rnacentral:lncRNA from 1 species